GCAGUCGAACGGUAACAUUUCUAGCUUGCUAGAAGANGACGAGUGGCGGACGGGUGAGUAAUGCUUGGGAACUUGCCUUUGCGAGGGGGAUAACAGUUGGAAACGACUGCUAAUACCGCAUAAUGUCUUCGGACCAAACGGGGCUUCGGCUCCGGCGCCAAGAGAGGCCCAAGUGAGAUUAGCUAGUUGGUAAGGUAACGGCUUACCAAGGCGACGAUCUCUAGCUGUUCUGAGAGGAAGAUCAGCCACACUGGGACUGAGACACGGCCCAGACUCCUACGGGAGGCAGCAGUGGGGAAUAUUGCACAAUGGGGGAAACCCUGAUGCAGCCAUGCCGCGUGUGUGAAGAAGGCCUUCGGGUUGUAAAGCACUUUCAGUUGUGAGGAAAAGUUAGUAGUUAAUACCUGCUAGCCGUGACGUUAACAACAGAAGAAGCACCGGCUAACUCCGUGCCAGCAGCCGCGGUAAUACGGAGGGUGCGAGCGUUAAUCGGAAUUACUGGGCGUAAAGCGCACGCAGGCGGUUUGUUAAGCUAGAUGUGAAAGCCCCGGGCUCAACCCGGGAUGGUCAUUUAGAACUGGCAGACUAGAGUCUUGGAGAGGGGAGUGGAAUUCCAGGUGUAGCGGUGAAAUGCGUAGAUAUCUGGAGGAACAUCAGUGGCGAANGCGACUCCCUGGCCAAAGACUGACGCUCAUGUGCGAAAGUGUGGGUAGCGAACANGANUAGAUACCCUGGUAGUCCACACCGUAAACGCUGUCUACUANCUGUGCGUGCCUUUNA
rnacentral:rRNA from 1 species